CUGUGACAUCCUGUUUUUUCAGACUCACAAGCUCAUUCUCUUCUUUCCCAGUGACUCCGAGAGACUGUGUGAAUCCUACAUUUCACCAUUCCCAGGACAAUCUGCUUUCUCUGAGGGACUUCUCUGGAGCCCAGCAAGCUGAAUAUCACCCUCACACAUGUGACAGUGUGAAAGGAGAAGAUAAAGUGCAGCUCCAUUUAAGGGAUAGAAUUCUUGAUGAGGCAUUGCCCUUGGAAACCAGCAGCCCAGUCCAGCCCAGCCUGCCUGUGCCAUCAGUCACAAUCAGUUUUGCUUGUUCCACAGCUGACCCUCUAUGAAGAAAAGAAUUUCAUCAGUUGGCGCUGACGACCACCAGAGGACCAGACGUGCUGUGGUUUUUCCCCUGACCAUCGCAUCGACUGACUGCUCCCCUUAGACUUGCUGGUGGACUUUGGGACAAUCUCUCUAUGCUGCUGGACUCAUUGAAAAUCAACUUCAACAGUCCAUUUGACUUCACCUCUGACAGCUUGGAGCCUCUCCAGAGACAGAUAAAUUCCCUUGCUAAGGUGGUAAUCCAGAACCGCCAUGGUUUCGACUUCAUUUAUGCUAAACAGUGUGAUCUUUGUCUAGAAAAAUGUUGUUUCUUUCGUAAAUGAAAUUAUAUUUGUAGAACAGAAUGUUGAUACCUUGCACAAACUCAGCUGUGAUAUUAAGAAUUCCUUUCCCCUUUUCAAUACUAACUCUUGGCUUUCUUCUCCUUUAACUGCUUGGCUUCUGCUUCUCCUAGGCCCUUUGCUAGCUGUUGCAGUCCUAUUACUGAUUGCUCCUUGCCUCAUUCAAUUCCUCAAGAAAUGCAUACAUGACAUUAUUCAUGUCACAGUGCAGAGGGUCUCUGUUCACCCUUACACUCGUAUUCCUUUAGAAGAGAUAAAUGUUCUUGCUGACACUGAUCCAUAGACAUUGUUAAUUAAUUAAAGAAAUAAGGAGGAGAUGUUGGGACUAUGUGUAAGCUUGAUAUAGCUUAGGGAGAACUAAGAACUAAGAACUGAAUGGAGGUCUGAGAAGAUACCCCCUUGUGAGUCUCUCUCAACCGAGGUGAGCAAAGGGAAGGAACUCAGACUUAGUUCUUUCCUUCUUGACUCUCAGGCCCACAGAAACCCCAAUACUUCUCCCAGUUAACUGCAGGCCACAUGGCUGACUACUUUAAGAUUCAUUUACUCAAAGUCACCUUACCUUCUGAUCACAGAGGAGAACACACCUUAUCACACACUCCAUCAUACACCUCAGACCCCAGACAAGAGAAAUUCCAAACUAUAUGGCCUUUUGAUAUCCAUCUUCUCUCUGUCUCACCCUACUGGUUUAACCCCUAUGCUUCUCUCAAAUACCUUUGGUUAAUUAAGUUGCUUGUGUCAUGGAGAAUAACUGUCUUGUAUCUCAUCAAUUCCUGUCAUACCAGCCCCCUACCAUAAGGGCAAGCUGACCUUUAAGACACCUGUAAUUUCUGACAUAUUUCAAUAAUUCUCUUUGUUUGGUUUUCUAUUUAACUCAUGUCCACUGGCUAAUAAACGAG